GGCGGGAAAAUUGCGGACCCCGUAACCUGGGUCUGUGGGGGGGUCUGCCGUCCCUACAUCUGUAACGUGUAGCAAUGUACCUCGGCGGGUCGGGCUACAUUUGGCCUGCAGACUGGUACAAUGAUACCAGUCUGCUUACUCACCUUAGUUCGGGAACCACCGUUUGCGGGCUGAACGAGCCCCUGAAUGACUGCAAUGCGAGCUGCCAGGAUGAACUCAAGCACCA